rnacentral:tRNA from 1 species
GCCGGUGUAGCUCAGUUGGUAGAGCAACUGAUUCGUAAUCAGGAGGUCAGCGGUUCGAUUCCGCUCUCCGGCA